GAAGUAGUUAAUGGAUUUGAGUUACAGCUCGGCAAAUUCCACAAAGAAAAUAAAACAGCACAAGGUCCCCACAGAGCGACGGGAGGCAGGAAAGGGGAAGUCCAUGCCACCAGAGGAAUAGUUUCAUUGAACGCUUGAUCUUUGAGCCGAACUCAGAAGGAGCCACCCCUGUAAAGGUCUAUAGGCUGAUUAAACUUGAUGGGUUCUGGAGAUGCCGAGGAAGAGAGGCAGCAUCACCUACUUGCCUGGACUCUAGAUGGGCAGCUGAUCAUCUUGGACAGACUGCUGGAUGCUGUACCCAGGGUGGUCACUCCCAGACACCAUAGAAAAUGGUAUGUGUCCUCCCUUC
rnacentral:lncRNA from 1 species